CGGCAGCGCGAGAGAGCUUGCUCUCUUGGCGGCGAGUGGCGGACGGGUGAGUAAUAUAUCGGAACGUGCCCAGUAGCGGGGGAUAACUACUCGAAAGAGUGGCUAAUACCGCAUACGCCCUACGGGGGAAAGGGGGGGAUCGCAAGACCUCUCACUAUUGGAGCGGCCGAUAUCGGAUUAGCUAGUUGGUGGGGUAAAGGCUCACCAAGGCAACGAUCCGUAGCUGGUUUGAGAGGACGACCAGCCACACUGGGACUGAGACACGGCCCAGACUCCUACGGGAGGCAGCAGUGGGGAAUUUUGGACAAUGGGGGAAACCCUGAUCCAGCCAUCCCGCGUGUAUGAUGAAGGCCUUCGGGUUGUAAAGUACUUUUGGCAGAGAAGAAAAGGUAUCUCCUAAUACGAGAUACUGCUGACGGUAUCUGCAGAAUAAGCACCGGCUAACUACGUGCCAGCAGCCGCGGUAAUACGUAGGGUGCAAGCGUUAAUCGGAAUUACUGGGCGUAAAGCGUGUGUAGGCGGUUCGGAAAGAAAGAUGUGAAAUCCCAGGGCUCAACCUUGGAACUGCAUUUUUAACUGCCGAGCUAGAGUAUGUCAGAGGGGGGUAGAAUUCCACGUGUAGCAGUGAAAUGCGUAGAUAUGUGGAGGAAUACCGAUGGCGAAGGCAGCCCCCUGGGAUAAUACUGACGCUCAGACACGAAAGCGUG
rnacentral:rRNA from 1 species